GAAUUGAAGGUGGGUCCUCCAGAAGAGUAACCAGUAUUCUUAACCUUUGGGCCAUUUAUCUUUCCAGGCCCUCAUAAUACAACUUUAUUACUUCAAUUAAAAAAGUCAAUUUGAUUAAACAAAUAAAGCAACUGCCUUUUACUAAACAACAAUGUCACAACUGACAGUCCUUUAUGUCAACCUGCUUUCCAGGGGCCAGAAAAACAGUUGAUGGACCUAAGGACCCUAGUUCAGACAGUCUAAAGUCUGCCAGCUAAGGUCCUGUUGCAAGUUUAAAGGCUAGGCCACAGCUCGGUGCAGUCUAUGCUUUCAUACUACCCAUCUCCAAAGUCCCCACAAAACUAAAGGGCGUUCCUCAAAAGGGAAUAAUAAGAGAUUAAAGAUACUGCCUCAUGUGCUCAAACACUUUAAAAUCUAAAAAUUCACUUUUCUGCUGUUCAUCCACUUUUCAUUAAGUGUAGUUUAGAUCUAUAAAACUUUCCUCCCUCCCUCCUUCCUUCCUAGAUACUAUGUUACUAUGUAGCCGAAUUUGGCCUGGAACUCUCAAUUCUCCCUACUUCUGCCUCCCAAACGCUACACUUAACUACAGGCACACAGCAUUUCAGCUUCUAACACCGUUUUUAUAAUUAUCUUAUCAAACUGCAAAAGCAGGACCAUGGUCUGGAGAAGAACUUGGUUAGGAUCACGAUAAAUUCCCAAAUCAAACAAUUAGUUUAGUUACAGCACAAUUCAUCAACAAUAGGCUGGCCUAGGACUGUGGCAGUCAGCUGCAUUAUUGUGUUUUAGAAGACUAGUUCCCCUGACAUGUAUAUAGGUGUAAGCAACUACUCCGUGGGUCAUGCCAUCAAACAAAAGCAACACCUACAAAGUCUCUCUCAGUGACUAGAAGCAGCCAGACACUCAAACUGCCAGUCCUGAAUUAUGGCCUCUGAAUGGUGAGGGCUUCACAUUUCACCGAUCAGGGCACAGCCCAAUCAGAAGACAAACCCCUGCCCUGCCGGGGACCAGCAAAUCCGCUUUCUUCCAGUGUGCACAUGACUGAAUGUGCUUCUGUCCAUCAUCUGGGUCAUAUAUAGUUCAAUGCGAGCUAAGCAGACAGGGCUGCAAGGAAAUCUGGUGCGGUUCAAUACCUUGUCUAGCCUGGGCUCCAGUAUUUUUUUUUUUUUUUAACUGACAAACUCAUUUUUCUACUGGGACAGGAUGCUGUGCUGACUGAAGUUCCAUUUCUACAGCAAGAAUCCUAUCUGGAAGCACAGAAGUUGUCCUCUAGCCACAGCAGCUCCAACUUUUUUGAUUGUUGUUGCUGUUUUCUCCUAUCACCCCCAUCCCUUUUUGACAAAGAUCCAACUAUAGAAAGUCUUACGUAACAGUUCAGGACUACUUCGGUUCUUUUACCGGGAACCAUCACUGUCCAAUUCUACGUUACAAAGAAGACUGGCUGGCAGCAACACAGUACCUAAGCCAUUCCUACCAGAUGGAGACCAGGUAACAGAAUUUCAUCCCCCAACUCCCCAGCAGUGUUGGAUAAGUUCUUAAACUGUAUAACUCGAAAUUGCUUUCAGAAUUCUGGGUUUUAUGUAAAAUAUUUAGAAAGACAGACAGUCCAUACCUUUGCAUAGGCUUUUUAAUUGCAUAGGGUUAUCUUAAUACUCACAAUAAAUGAGGUUGGCAAUUAUAUAUUCUCACUUUAUAGAUUAAGGAAAAUGAAAUGUAUGGGAGAAGAAAACAUUAUAAGUGGUAAAGCAUUAAUUUAAAAUGUCUUUAAAACGUGUGCACAUGGCAAGUGUGUUGGCACACUCCUGAACCCCAGCAAUUGUGAGGUCCAGCCAAGUCCACACAGAAAGUACUGGACCAGCCAAGCUACACAGUGAGAAAAAUAAGAAAAACACAAACACACAAAACCCUAUAGAUAUGUAACGCUGAUGCAAUGCAAGGCUAUCUCAUCAAUUUUAUUUAAUAACACUUAAAGAAUGAUUAUAGUUGAUUUUAAUAAUGUAAAUCAUUUUGAAAUAGCGUAAAGAUAAUAGAAGUUAUAAAUUGAGGUUAUAAGGUUUUAAAUAUUUGCAAUUAUAGUUCUACAAACAUUCUAUGAAGCAUAUAUUAUCUCUAGUUUAUAGAGAAGAAAAUAGGAAGAGAUGAUAUAUACUUUUCCUAAGCCUACAAAUUUAGUGUUCCAAAAUCUCUGGUCUUAUAUAAUACUGCUUUUGUAAACAUGCAACAUGAAGAAUUUAAACUACAGUCAUUUUAAAGAAAUGAUAAAGAAAGCCAAGCAUUCAUUCAAUUUGGAAAAAAGUCUACUAUAAUACCACUUCAGUUGUUCUAUUUUUGUAUAAGGCAAGAGCGAUGACUGGAGAGAACACAGUAGUUACACAUGCAUUUUUGUAUGUACUUUAACUUGCAAAGUUGUAUAUGCAGUAAGUGUUGUCACACGUUUUAAACAGAGAUAACUAACAAUCUAAGAGGUUACUAUCACUGCUCAUCAGUGUCUGCACACUCCUUUUCUAUACACCCUGUCAACACCCUUCUCCUCUAUUGGAGUACCUUUGCUUUUCAGUUUAGUGACGAUCCAACUAAGUGUUUAAGACCCAGUAGAAAUCCAACUAAGCAUUUAAGUGAUCUGUUUAUAUAGAGCAUUCCUAGCAUUCAAGGCAAUGUUAACACGGUGGUUCUUAUCCUACCAGCAGCAGCCUCUUUGUCAUCUGCUGUAUUUCUCAUCUAAAUGACACUCGCUCAUGAUGUCAGGGGCUGUAAAAAGGACAAGGCUUCUACAGCUUCAGUCAAUAAAAACGUAAAGCAGUAGCCAGCGCUUUGGUUGACAUACUUCUAUCUUUAGUUAUUAUUAAUUUUUCCAGACAGGGUUUCUCUGUGUAGCUCUAGCUGUCCUGGAAUUCACUCUGUAGACCCGGCUGGCCUCAGACUCAGAGCUGCCUCUUCCUCUGCCUCCUGAGUGCUGGGAUGAAAGAUGUGCGCUACCACCACUUGGCCACUGAAAUCAUUUUCAAAACAAAAAUGUAUCCUCAUGUAAAUAACCACAAAUGUUUCUAGCAACGCUCCCUGCAUAGUACUUCAGAAGUAACUAUAGAGACUCACUCACACCUGUGACAGGAACUCUUUACUAACUAUGCAAACAGAAGAGUUUAUACUUCUUGUUUCUCACAAUUUUCAGAGGCCCAGAAAGACUUGGAAACAUUUACAUCUCUGUGAGUAAUACCUUGGUAUUCGAGGUAUAUCUAGAAAGGAAAGGAGGUAAGUGAAAUUAUAAUGGCUUAGUAAUUUCAGACAAAUUCGAAACCAGGUUAAAUUAAGAAUUAAUCAUUGAAUCCAAGUUAGGAAAAGUUCAGCUAUGUAACUGUCAAACAAGGUGGCCCUUAGCUUUUUAAAUCCUUUAGAGUCCAUCAUUGCGUAAGUCCAAUAGGCAAAUUCAUUUGGAUCCACUGUAAGGUUGCAGAAGUGACCCACUGAUUAAGAGUGCUUGUUGCAUGUACCUCCCAGACGUUGGGAGUUUGGUUCCCAGCAACAUCAGGUGGCUCAUAACCACUUGUAACUAUAGCUCCUCACAUGCUAUUGUUUUCUUCUUUUGAACUUCAUAGGCACCUGUUCAUGUGUAGUGUGUGCAUGUAAGCACACAGACAUUUAAAAAAAAUUAACAAUAACAAUAAAGGGAAAGUAACCAAUGUGUACUUUAAUUGUGAAUGAUGAAACUAAAAUUAAAGGCUUAAGGGAAAUUGAAGGAGUAAGGACAAUAAAGACCUUUAAAAGAUAAAAAGUAGUUGAACGUGGCGGCAUAUGCCUUCUUUAAUGGUAUCUCUAAUUUAAUUGUAUCUCUAAAUUCCAGGCCAAUCUGGUCUACAGAUUGAGUUCAGGACAUCCAAGACUACCCAGAUAAACCCUAUCUCAGAAAAAAAAGGGGGAGGAGGGGGAGGGAAAGGGAGAAGAGAAGAGAAGAGAAGAGAAGGGAAGGGAAGGGAAGGGAAGGGAAGGGAAGGGAAGGGAAGGGAAGGGAAGGGAAGGGAAGGGAAGGGAAAGAGGAAGAAGAAAGGGAAAAGUAUCUCAAAUGCAACAGGAAAUACCUCCAUAUCAAGAGCAGGAUUCUCGGAAUGCCGUACACUGAAGAACAGUGGGUUUAUUUUUUAAUUUGAUACAGCAGAUAUCACUAUUUCUGAUUAUCUGUCCUAAGGAAUACGAAGCUUGACAUCUCUUAUGAGACAAAGAAAAAACCAUUUAAAGCAAAUCUAAACCGGAGUUUUUAAAAUACUUACACAGGAAGAUAUUGAUCCUUUCAUUUUUUGUGCUUCUACUUCAUAACAAUUGAACUCAACAAAGAUUCAAAGCAAAGAAUUUUGAUGGAAGAUCAAAUAGAGUGAUAUAGAAUGUAAACAAUUUCAUUUGAACCAAAUUCUCGCUGGCUCACUUUUUUUCUCUCAAGAAGUGCCAUUUGGCUACUUUAAUCUUCAACUGGGUCAGCUAUCAGUAUUCAAAGCCAAAGAGGAUGGAGAAAUGGCUCAGUGGUUAAGAUGGCUGCUUUUCCAGAAGACUCAAGUUUGAUUCCCAGCACCAUAUGUGAGCUUAUCAUCUAAUUCUAGUUUCAGGGGAUCUGACACAUUCCUCUGGCCUUUGAGGUUACCAGCCACACACUUAGGCAAACAACUAUACACAUAUAAAUAAUAAAUUUACUAAAUACAUUUAAGAAAAUAUUUAAACACAAAGGAUCCCAGAUUAGAGAUUAACCUCAAUUCUUCCAGCAGCUCUACAAGCAAUGUUUCUAUGUUGCUUAAUAUAAGGCUAAUAAUAUUCUGAAAAAUACUUAAUUCAUUUUCAAGAUUUUUCACAAAAGAUAUUCAAUAAAUAGCCAUGCACGGUGAUGCACACCUGGCCCUAGCACUCAGAAGGCAGAGGCAGAUCUCUGAGUUUGAAGCAGCCUGCUCUACAUGGAGAGUUCCAGAUAAGCCAGGGCUACAAAGUGAGACUCUGAGAAGAGGGGAGGGGAGGGGAGGGGAGGGGAGGGAAGGGGAGGGAAGGGGGGAGGGGAGGGGAUGAAAGGAGGGAGGGAGGGGGGAAAGAAAGUUAAUAAGUAAUAAAGUAAUUAAGUCAGUUAAUAAGUAAUAAAAAUAACCACCCAAACAAAGAUCAGAUACAUCUGGCAUUUUAGUUACUCCAAGUUCUUUCAAGGAUUUUUAUUUAUUAUGUGUAUGUAUGUGUGUAUAUUCAUGUGCCUGUGAAGGUGACAGCUGACAGACUCCUGCAGCAGAAACUGGUAGUUACAGACGGUUGUUACAAUAAGUUCAGGGAUCAAAGUCGGGGUCUCUACAAGAACAGUACGUGUUCUUGGUUGCUUGAUCUUAUCUCCAGAUCUAUUCUCUGAAGUACACAUAGAAUGUUUGCUCUUUCUAUAUGGAAAAGCAUUCAUGGAGUAUCACUGGCACUUCCGUGGUAAUUCUCAAUUAGGAAGUUUAUUUCUCACCUUUUUCUCUAAACCAUACAUACGGCUUUUGACCUAUUUUCUAUGAUUACAGGCAAACAAGAAGGAAUUUGCUUGUUUGAUUUAGCUCUGCGGUGAAGGUUCAACCCUGAGUUAUGAGUGUGUUCUGAGACAGGUAAAGGGGGAAGCAGCAUAAACAAUGAGUACUGGAACAAUGAAGUCUGGUGUUCAAGUUCUGGCUAUGGAACUCUGGGUAAGUCUCUGUUUCUUCAGGGAAAUACAGUUGGAAUUAAAUAUAUAAAUCCUACUACACAGAAGUUCUCAGUAUAUGUCUUUCUUGGUUUUGUACAUUAAUAAUUAAAAUAUUACUAUAAAAUUGAUACAUUGGUGUUUUCAGAAUACCACCAUUGGAAAACAUUUCCACAGAUGUCCAUUUUUAGUCAGCAAUGUAAACUGCAGUCUCAAACCCUGUAGCUUAUCACCUCUCUGCUAUAUGCAAACUAACAUUGCAGUUUAAGCACUAUUAACUUGAAAUCUUGGAGAAAUUGAGAGACUCAACAGUAGUGGUCCUUAGACCAUGAUAGCAGGCCAAAGAUGGGCAACCAAGGCAGCCUUAAGAGGACUCCAUGGAACAUUCAACGCUGUCGGUGAGUUUGGGAUUCAAAAACAAAAAAAACCACCAACCGUUGACUGUACCUUGGGAUUCUUACAGACAACAAGCUUCCUGAAGCAACAGAUAUAUCAUAUGACAUCACAAGAGACAGUCCUGGGGCCUCUUCUCUAAAGGGAACCAGCAACUUUUUUUAAAGCUUCCAUGUAUUGUCUAGUUUUUUUGUAAUAUUUUUAUAAAUACGUGUUUCAUUUGAACAAUUUAUAGGGAAUGCCAUCAUGGUAUCAAAUGCACUCAAAUAUCUUCUAGAAAUGUGCCAUUCUAGUCAGAAAUAGUGUGCAUUAAAAAUGUCUAUUUAGUAUAGAAAUAAAAUCUAGUUAAGUCUUCUAUUCUCAUUUCUCCCACAUCCUUUCAAAUUUUUGCUUUAGGGUCAAGAAUUAGAUUUACUCCGCAAAAAUGGCACAAAACUACUCAGUGUCUAUACAAAUCAUAUUGUACCUCCAAUUUCAGUUACUGUGGUUAGGAUCUGACAGCUUCAUGAGAGAACCAGAUACAUUUCCAUCUCCGUGUGCUUAUUUAAUACAUUUUGGGUCAACUCCAACUGUGUAAGCCUGCGUAUCCAAGUACGUUUUCUCCAGUGUAGAAUGGGAGAGGAGCUUCAGAGUUUUGGUUUAAUGAGAAGACAUACAGGGGUACUUUGAACUACUUCUAGCUCACAGCAAAUGCUUACUACAAAAACCUUUACUUAACUGCAAUCAUCAUCUAUUACCUUGAAAAGGGGUACUUACACUUCUCAGCUUGAAACAAAAGAUGAAGCAAUGUCUCUGAGGGCUGCUUUACAGAUAUCAACACCCAGUCCCAGACCAUGUGUCCAGAGCUAUCUACAGGUUCUCACACGGUGCCUUCCCCCUCACAACUUUUCUGUCUUGAACAAGUUCUUGCUGUACAGUCAAGGUUAUCUAUAUUAAGAGUCCUCAACCAUACAAAUGACUAGUUACAAACAUACAACAGACUUCAAAGAACCAUAGUGGGAAGAAGACCCAGGAGAUGGAAAAGACCAAGACAAUUUCACCAGACGGAAACAUUGAUGGCUGCACUCAACAUUCAUUGCUGUCGGUGGGUUUGAAUGUCAACCAACUCACUGGUCAAUGAAUGCAAACUGCGGGCCAAAAAAUGCAAGGAAACAAAGCACUCCCAAAAAGUCACCAGAGUGUGGAAGUACUCCUGCAGGUGGGACCUCAAUCUUUUAUCUAAAGUCUCUUUAGUGUCUUUGCUUCUAAUAUGGAGGAAGCUCUAUAAUUCCUAGUAUUUCUUAUUUUCUUCUCAAAUAUUCUAAGUUUUGAGAAAUUAUAUUAUCACAGGCAAAAUGACUAAUAUACCUUCACAUAUUUAAAAACAAUGCUUUCAUAAUUUAAAAAGUAACAUACGCUUACUAUUUUAAAAUACAAGUAUAUGAAAAGAAUUUAAAUCUAUCCUCAUCUCAAAUGUAUCCUUUCUAUGAAAAUCACGUAAGAACAUCCAUUUGAUAAUAUUACUUAGACAAAAAAGACAUAAAGUUUUUUUUCCUUUUUGGUUCUUUUUUUCGGAGCUGGGGACCGAACCCAGGGCCUUGCGCUUCCUAGGCAAGCGCUCUACCACUGAGCUAAAUCCCCAACCCAUAAAGUUAAGUUUUAUACCUUUGAGACUGAUCUACAUGUUUAGAAACAGAGACAUAACUGUAAUUCUGGGGAAGUUCAAUGGUAAUAAAAGGAACUCCUUGCUCUUCAAUUUACCUUCGCACUCAGCUAUAUACUUUAACAAACAACAUUUACUAUCAUUUUGACUACUUGUUAAUUGUUUUUGAGACAAAGUCUUACUCAUCCUAUGCUAGAUAGCUGAAAGUGGCCUUGAAUUUCUGAUCCUAUGAUUUCCUAACUAGGAUUACAGGUAUAUAUCACCAAGUCUGGUGUUGAACCCAAGGCUUUGUGUAGCUGCAGCUCCUGUAUUUGUAUGUUGGUGCACAUGUACAUAUUUUGGUGCAUGUGUAAGCCAGAGGUAGGUGUCAGGUGUCUUCCUUAAUCACUCUCCACUUUAUUGCCAAACCUGAGGCAUACCUAUUCUGUAAAACCAAGUCAACCAAGUUCCAGGAAUCAUCUAUCUCCACUUUCUCAAGUCUUCAUGCUUCCAUGGCAAAUACUCACUCAAUAAGCCAUCUUCCCAUCAAUCCUUUCUCAUUCUUUCGAAUGACUGUGUAUCUUAGUAUGAAUACUCUGUUUUUAUUGUUCAAACACAUUUAAAAAACCUCUCUUGACCAAAACCAUCUAUUCUUGUUUUUGCAAGGUAAGUUCUUAAAAACAACCAAGUAAGACGGGAAAUACUCAUUUUAUAGUAACAAAAUCUAAAGGACAGACAGUAUCAACUCUCCAAAUCCUAUACUGUAGCCACAAAGUAUUUCCUGCUGAUGAGAUAAAGACAUGAGCCUUAGUUGUAAAUUAAUUAUCAUACAACUCAAGUCUAAGAAAAGACGACACAAGUGUCUUGUCAGUUUAGCAUUCCAAACUUUCUUCUCAUGGACAGGAUGGAAAGGAGAGAAUACAGUUGUAUUGAGACAAGAAUCAAAAUGACAAAAGAAAAGAACUGAUUACAAGAAAGCAGGGAAAGUGUGAGAUUCAAAGAGAGUGCUUCCCUAACUGACUGUAUACCAUGACAUUUAGUGUUGCUGUCAAAAUUGCAUGUUCCUCUAUAUUUCUGCAGCCCAGAGACGAGGCCUUAGCAGUAUUUUAAUAAGCCCAUUGGGUGAUUUCUCCAACACUGAAGGCUUCCCUAAAGCAAAGCAAGCGUACUAGUGCAAUACUGACUCCCUAUCCCCUGUGGCCACACUUCGUGCUGUCCGCUUUCCAACCACUGCCUGAGAUUCCCCGCACCACUCUUCAAGGUGCAGACACUGGUGUUGCUGUUGAGUACAUUACUCCCAAACACAUCGAACGAUCUGCAGUUUACAGAAAUAAGUACAUAUGUAUUCAUGUCUUCACAAAAUAUGAAGGCCUCUGAAUGCAAGUUAAAAUUCAGAUGACUGGGGUUGGGGAUUUAGCUCAGUGGUAGAGAGAUUGCUUAGGAAGCGCAAGGCCCUGGGUUCGGUCCCCAGCUCCGAAAAAAAGAACCAAAAAAAAAAAAAAAAAAAAAAAAAUUCAGAUGACUGUGCCACCUGACAGCUUGUGACACAAUCAACAGCUUUGCUCUCACAGGUCAAAUUGUUGCUGCUGUGUCAGAACCCAUGGGACUGAGAGAACCAACUUCUACAAGUUAUCCUCAGAACUCUACAAUAUGCUCUGGUAAAUAUGAACUGUUUUAAUUUAUAUUAUAUAUACACAUUAAAAAUUAGGUAUAAUAUACAUAUUAUUCCACUUAGAUGAAAUACCUACAAUCCUUACUUUUUUAAAAAUGUUUUUUUUUUUUUUGAGACAAUGUUUUUCUGUCCUGGAACUCACCCUGUAGACCAGGCUUGCUUGAACUCACAGAUCCACCUGCCUCUGCCUCCCAAGUGCUGGGCUUAACGGCAUGCACCACCAUUACCUGGCAAAUCCCUAGGAAUUAAUGUUUUGUUUUGUUUUUUAAGAAAACAAAAGAAAAAUCUAAGAGCUUUCUUUCUGACAUGCUGGUAGAUGGUAUAUAAUUUUCUUAAAUCUAGAAUAUUAGCAGGCCUAACUACAAUUCUAUUUUAAAAGUCAAAAACCUUAUGUGGCUUCUCUUGGAAAAAAAAUUAAAUCCUAGUUACAGGAGAGAAGCCUAUAUGAAUUUAAGGGUGUUCUCUAAACUGGAACUCGAAUAAAUACCCAUAUCAUAGAAAAUUAAAGCAUAGGGAAUUAAAGAAACAUCCUGAAUCUGUCAUCAUCACUGUGAGUGAAGCCAUGUAAAGAGCUUUAUAAACAGCACCUAAUCCUGCCCAAAGUACCCUGGCCUCCCUUUGAGCCCCCAGAGCAGUGGUUCAUCCUUCCUAAUGCUGCAAACCUUUAAUACCAUUCUCCUCAUGUUGUGGUGACCCCAACCACAAAAUUAUUCUUAUUUUUGUUUAUUAUUACUAUUUUUGUUGUUGUAUUUUUUUGAGACAGGGUUUUUUGUCCUGGAACUAGCUCUGUAGAGCAGGCUGGCCUUAAACUCAAGGGAUCUCCCUGCCUCUGACUCCAGGGCGCUAGGAUUAAAGGCAUGCACCACAACCACCUGGCUCAUAAAAUUAUUUUUGUUGCUACUUCAUAAUUAUAAUUUUGCUAGUGUUAUAAAUCUUAAUGUUGAGUCUGUGUUCUCUGAUUAGGCUACUCCUAUGAAAGGGUUGUUCAAACCCCUAGGAUGAUUCUCCACUUUGAGCGGCACAGGCACAAUCCCUCUAUUCGCCAACUGGCAACAUACAUAUAUAAAAUGUCUGGAAGGAGGUAAGUUAUAACCCAGGGUUUGAAGGCAGUUUUUUUCCUACAUCAGCCUGAAUGGGAUGUGUCAUUAAGUCUGGUUCCCUCAGAACCACAUGCCACAUAACUGUUUCUAAACAUGUUUCUAGUGGAUUAUGUAAGGGGAAGAUUAUGUGACGCACAGGAUAAAGCUUACAAAGUACAAACUUCAAUGGAAAUUAGAGUAAGAGAGCUCACAAAUCUUAAAACCAUUUAGCCAAAGUUUCUUCCUUUAGAUCCUUCCAACAAAUCAUAAAUAUUUUAAAAAGCAGAGUUUAGGUGUGUUUUACAUACUGUAACAAUUCACCCACUGUAACUUAAAACACUUUUAUUAAUUUAAUUAUGUAACUAUUACCAAAAUUUAAGAACAAACAUUUCUAUGGCCCUACAAAAAAAGCCAUUUAUUCCCCAUCACCCCCGACCCUGACACCAGGUCAUGGAUAAUCAGUAACCUGCUCUCUCCACAAAUGUGCAUCGUCUAGGUAGUAACAGGUUUGGCCAGAUUACUUUAAACAUUUGAAGCACUCUUUUAUAGCACUGUGUUAAGGUUACAACAGUGCAACCAUCACCACUAUCCACAUGCAGACUUUGCUGUAGUCCUAAAGUGGAAACUCGUUAAACAAUAGCCACCUAUUUCCAAAAUCCCCAUGAAACUGUUUUACUUUGUCUCUGAAUUUUGCCUAUUCCAGUUAUUUUCAGUACAUGGAAUCAUGCAGUAUUUUGGGUUAAUUUAAAAACUGGUCUGAUAUUUCAUUGUAAGAAUUAUUUAUAAAGCAGGCACAGCAGUACAUACCUUAUCAUUUUUAACCUUGGAAGGUGGGGGCAGAAAGAGAACUCAGAGUGAUCCUCUCCUAAUAACCUAUCUGAGGUCAGCCAAUACGUUUAUAUAUUCUGGAUACAUUCCUUUGAAAGACAUUUAAUUUGCAAAUAUUCCCCUUUAGACUGUACCUAUCUUCCCAUUUUCUUAAUGUCUUUUGAAGUCCUAAGCUUUAUACUUUAAUAUUAACAUUUUUCUCCAUGUUUGCCAUUAGCCCAAGGUCACAAAGCCAUUCAAUACGAUUUGUGAUUUUAGCUUUUACACUAAGUAUAUGAACCCUGUGAGUUACUUUGGGGCCUAAUAGAGAGUCUGGUUUUGAUGUGUGUUGUUUUCUGUCUGCAGGCUAGCUGAUUUUGAUGUCUUAUUUCUGUAUUGCAACUGGCAGCUUUUUUGGCACAAACAUAACCAAUUUCCCCAGCAUCGUAUGUAUAGAAACCAAGUUCUCCACACCAUAUUGUCUAAGUACCUUUGACAAGUCUCAAUUGGUAUAUACAUCAGGAUCUAUGGUUGAACACAGUCUGGCUCCAGUGCCCAUCAUGGCCGCAGCACAAUAUCUUUUGACUUUACAGUAGUACUUGAAACUGCACAAUUAUGUCCUCAAACUGUCAAUUUUCGAAAUUGCAUUAGCUACCUUAAGCUCUUUGCAUUGCUACCAGUGUUGGGAGCAAGAUGACAAGUGUUUCAGGAAAAUUAGCUGAGAUUUUCAUACAGAGUUUACCAAACAAUUUGCAAAACGUAUCUUAACAUGUAAACGUUUAAUCCAGGAACAUGGCAUGUUCUCCGUUUAUUGUCAUCUCUCUUGGCAAUACUUACAGCUUCUAGUAUAUAAAUCUGUACGUGUUAGACUUAUUCAUUUGCUGCAAUGAUAAAUUAUGCAGCUUAUUUAUAUUAUUUUAUUUCUACUGUUAAUAUAUUAAAAACACAAUUUUGUACAGUGAUCUUAUGAUACUGCCAAUUCAGUUCCAUCUGUUUUGGGGAAUCCUUAGGACCAUAUAUAAGAUUAUGUUAUCUAGGAAUAAAGAGUUAUAAUCCUUUCCACUUGAUUUGGAUGCCCUCUCCCUUCUCUGCCCUGGCUAGAACCAGUGCUAAAAGAUUUGCUAUCCUAAACUGGUCAAACAUAUUUUCGGGGAAUUAUACCCAAAUAUUGUAGUACCUACAUAGCUAAACACAAAACUCAAUUAAGAAAGGAAUACACUAGGGAGAAAAGUGAAGAAGGAUAGAACUGCUCUGGGAUUGUAAAGUCAUUCUCAAUUACAGGAUACAACAGUUUAAAACAAACUUGGGAGCCAUGUUUAGUUCCCACUUCCACAAAGCUGUAUUAGAAGUCAUAAGUGCCUUCUUGUGUAUAUAGAUCAGCUGGAUAAUUGAUCUCAAGUAGGACAAGAGUACGAAGAUCGCCUCAGACCUUGUCACCAUACUGAUACUCAAACAGGUCCUGGCAAAGAGUACAACAAUGUUAAAGAUGAUCCUGGCCACUACAACUGAGCCCACUAAAAAAUAAGUUAAGAGCUUGAAGUCUAAAAGACAAGAGCAGAAAAACAACAACAAAAACACUGUGUAUUUUUAAUUCAUAUUCAUAUAUGCUCUUAUAACAAGCUAAAGUUAUAAUCUCCCAAAUUUUGAAAGCUAGCGGCAUUGUUUUUCAGAAAACAUUGUUUUAUGGUUCCAUAGCAAGUAACGUUAUAUCUUGUUUCUUUCAAGGACCUCCCUCUUCAUUCUUCAGUUAGGGCCUGUCACCACCUAGUGGACUAUGUAGGAAUAAUACAUACAACAAUGCAUCACCUCUCCUGUUCCAGAACAAAUCUCUAGAUAAAGUCUUCAGAAUCAGGUAAGAUACCUAUCUAAAAAUCCAGUUGGGAAAUUUUUAACUACAUAAAAUACAGAUUUAUACAAAUAAAAGAUAUGUACUCAAGAUAAUGAAUGGGUUAAUAAAAACAAAAAUCGUUUACAGACAGCAUGAUCCUGAGGUUAAGAUAAGCUUUGGUUCCCAAAGAUUAACCUGUUUAACAAAAUUAAUUUCCCAAGCUUAAUCUAUCAAGACAUGAAAAUCUUAAUACCUCAUAACUACAUGAGUUCCCCCCCCCCAGGUUAUAUGGCUCACUCAACUUUCAAAUCCGUAAAACUACAUCAACAAAAUAUAUACAUCAAGAUACAGAAACUGUAUUUAAAAACUUGGACAUUGUUCAUAAUAAAAAUCCUACCAAGCUACAAAUAGAAAAUGAAGUUUCCAAAAGCUGAUUGUAUUUUGUCUUUUUUAAUCUAUAGUUUCCUGACUUCAAAACUAACUAAAAGGCUAGGAGUGCUGUCACAUGCUUGCAAUCCUAGUAUUUGAAGACUGCAAAUCCCAAGUUGGUCUAGGAUAUGCACUGAGAGAUUCUUUCUCACACACACAAAAAAAUAGAAACUGGGCCUGGGCAUGCUGAUAUACACCUUAAAUCCCAGUACUUGAGAAGAAGAGGUAGGUGGGUUCUCUUAUGAUCUACACAGCAAGUUCUGGCCAGCCAAGGCUAGUAAGACACUGUUUUUAAAAAAAAAAAAAAAAAAAAAAAUCCUGACUACAGACCUACACCGAAGCUGUGACACUGGGUAACAGGGUUGUGGCUCGGUGGUAAAGUACUUAGCUAACAUAUUCAAGUCCUUGAGUUCAAACUCAAGUAUUAAAAAACAAAACAAGGGGUUGGGGACUUAGCUCAGUGGUAGAGUGCUUGCCUAGCAACCGCAAGGCCCUGGGUUCAGUCCCCAGCUCCUGGGGAUAAAAACAAACAAACAAAAAAAACCAGUAUGCUAUAGACAGGCAGGCCAAUAGAAUGUCUGCAUCUUAUCAAAAAUCUGGGGGUUGGGAAUUUAGCUCAGUGGUAGAGCGCUUGCCUAGCAAGCGCAAGGCCCUGGGUUCGGUCCCCAGCUCCGAAAAAAAGAAAAAAAAAAAAAUCUGUGUGUAGUUUGUUUGGUAGCAUUUUGUUUUGUUUUUUGUAGUGUUGGGUAUUAAACCUAGAGUAUUAUAUAUGCAAAAAAUUAGCAAAUAUAAAAUAUAAAGAAAAACAAUAAAACUUUUAUGAGAAAACAGGGGAAGCUUAAUGACAGUGAUGGCACAUCUUGAAUAUCCAACUGAGUGGGCUAAGAUGCUUUUACAAAACUGGUAAAGCACACCUCUGGGUGUGCCUGUGAGGGAGCUUCUAUAGAGGAUUAACUGACAGGAACAGGGAAAUAGGCUGGGGGCUCAAAUGCAGUAGCAGAGGAAAACUGAAGGAAACACACAUAAGUAGGUAUUGGCUCUUUGCUUCCUAGCAACAGUGAAGUAAUAAUUAGCUAAUCAAUCCAUCCUGCUUGUUCAGCUGUUAUCAGAGUGACAAAAAGUAAGACUGACAAGAGUUGUUACAAAGGAAGUGGAUCAUCGUCGACCUGGGGUUUGUAAGAUUUUGGAACUGGCUCUCAAGAGAAACAUGCAAGAGUCCAAAGAAACGAAGCAGGACAGUGACUUUGGUAAGAGCUCAGAAGACAGGAAUGUUAGCAGAGAUGAACAAAGUCAGGUCUACACUCCUGAGGUCUCAGACGGACUGAAAUGUGAAUUACAGAGAUUGCUCUUUAGGUUCCCAGUGGGACUCAGGACUCUAUCGGGAAAUUCAUGUUCCAUUCUGGCAAAGAGCUUUGUUACAUGGCCUGAGACUCUGCAUAACUCCAAGUUUAAAGGCAGUGAACUAAUUUAGACUGUGGCAUGGUUAUGGCUGAUUGUUUUUAGUCAGAUUAACAGUGACAAUCAUGAACAAAGAAACAGUCAAAAGACAAAAACCUUUCCACAGAGAUUAAAUUCCCUAAGCAGAAACCCUACUUGCAAGGUACCAAAGAUGGCCUAGGGUAUCAUAGAAAGUGCCAGAGUCUACCCAGGGAAUGAAUGUUUUAACCUCAUCUCAAAGAAUUCCUUUAAGUGAGACCCCAGGUACCCAGCUAGUGGCACAGGGCUGCCUAGGGAAACGGAUUCAAACAUCUGGGUACUCACAGGCUGCUGUGACUGUGGUCCAAAGGAUUCAGCUACUCUAGUACUACAUGGACAACACCAAGGUCUGCUAAUAGCGUGAAUGUUACCCUCAUGAUAGUAGUUUUGCAGACAUACAAAACUCAAGAGUUAGCAAAGAUACAAUAGAAAAUCCCUGUAAGCUAGAAAUGCCAAGAACAUGGAACAGCCACUGAAAACUGCAAGGAGCAAGCCAAGCCAAGCCAAAGGGGAAACCGUGCGGACUGAAACCUGAAAGGCCAUAGGGUGGGGUCGCACAAAUGUCUUGGAGUUUACAUCAUACUUUCUGUACCUCCCAGAUAACGCAGAUGCCAGAUAAAGCACUAUAGAAUGUAAAUGUUUGUCUUAAUAGGUUUCUCUCUUGCUUCGGUCUGGUCUCUUCCUUCGAUGUCCCUGCUCCUCUCUUCUGGGUGGAAAUAUGACAUUGUGAUCUUGGGAGUGUGCAGCUAGCUUUUGAUAAUUCAGGUAAUUCAUCUAAGAGUUUCUCAAAGAAGGAAUUUCAACUUUUGAACCAUGUUGGAAUUGCUAAGAUUUCGGAGAAGUCUAGGAAUUAGAUUAUGUACACUGUGCUUUACAAGAUGACUCUAAGAGUUGGGGUGGGGGAAGAUUAUUAUGAUUUGAAUAUGAAAUAUCCUCGGAGGCUAAUGUGCUAUCACUAUUUUGAGAGGUCUUAGAAAGUUUAAGAGAUGAAGCGUACAUAGGGAAUUAUCAAUUCAGGAAGGGAGUCUCUGAAAAAUAAACCUGCUCUCCCAUCCUUUACUUUCUCCGUUUUACAUUAUAAAACAAGUGACUGCUGGCCAUAUGCUUCCGCUACAUGGGGUGACCAAAGAUAUACAUGUGAGUCUGUGGGGUAUUUCAUAUUGAAACUGUAACAAUGACUUAGGACUGAGCAAUUAUUUUAUGGCUAUAAAACCCAAAGUAUAGACAAAAAUAAUAAGAAGAAAGUAUAUCAAAAUUAAAAUUCCAGGGCAGUGUGCAAUUCAGUUGUUGAAGAAAUUCUUGAAAUGUAUGGUGUCCUGAGUUUGAUAUAAACACAGGAAAUUCAAAAUGAAAAAAAAAUUAAACGUAUGUGUCUAUGAACAUAUUCAACAAAGUAAAAAAAGUCAGUAUGCAAAAUGGGGGAGGUUGCAAAUUAGAUAUUUGAUAAGGUGUCAUAACUAAAACAACCAGGCAACCCCACUGAGAAAAUAAUUUUAAAAGAAGCAUAAAAGUUGAAUACACUACAGAUACAAAUGGCAAUUAAGCACAUGAAAAGAUGUUAGUACCACUAAAGAGUAGGAAAAAUACAAAUAAAAAUAAAAAUACAGGACAAGGUAAGGAUAGAGAGAGACUGGAAUUCGUGUGUGUGUGUGUGUGUGUGUGUGUGUGUGUGUGUGUGUGUGUGUUAGCAAAAAUAUAGAAUAGUAAAACAAUACAACAUAUAUACAUAUAACUAUACAUAACAAAAAUUAAAGAAAAAGAGUCCAUGAAUUUGAAAGAAAGUUGAAGGUGGUACUUGGGAAGGCAUAAGACAUGGGGGUUUGGGGGUGAAUGGAUAAGAUCUCAAAAAAUAAAAUAUUAUAUAAAAUAAUUUUUAAAAACCAGAAGUUACUUAAAAACAAAGAACACAAUUAUCACAUGGUUCAGCAAUUCGACUUCUGGGUAUAGUCCCAAAAGAAAUUAAAAUAGGAACUCAGAGAUACACUGCUGUACACCCAUGUUCACAAGAUUAUUCACAAUAGCUCACUGUUGAAGAAAACCAAGUAUCUACUAUCUGGUGAAUAAAUAAAUUAUGGUAUAUAUAUAAAACAUUAUCUGGCCUUAAAGAAUACGUGAAUUCUAACAGAUCACACAACAAUAUGAAUAUAUCUUGAGAGCAUUAUUUGCUAAGUUAUAAAAGAACAAAUAUUGUGAGUCCACAAAUAGGGGUAUCUAUAUGGAGUAAAAUUCAUACAGAAAUAACUUCUAACAAAACUAUAAUAAUCAAAACACUGUGGUACAGAGGUAAUGACAUAUAGAUGAAUAGAAUAGGAUGCCCAGAAAAAUGUCUUGACAUAUAUAGCCAUUCUGUUCCAUUUUAGUUGACAGAUCUUAGGAAAUAUAGGAAGUUACUAUUAAUAUAGUCUGAGUUUCAGUUCUAAAUGCAAGUUCUGUAGAUGGAUGCUCAUGACAUUACACACUGAUGUGAAUGUAGUCAAUUCUACAGAAUGGCACACGCGAAAGUACUGAAAACGAACGGCACCCGUUUUCUAUUACAAACUUAAAAGAUACAAGGAGAGCCGUGCCCUGGAGUGACGGUUAAAUGGGUAAAAGCAAUUGCCACAGUUUGAGGACCUGAAUUUAAAUAAUCAAAACCCAUGUAAAGGGCAGUUCUGUAGCACAAGCAUCUACAACCCUGAUGCCACUAAAGGAGAUGGGAGGUCAAAAGAGGAGACUUUCCAGAAGCUCACAAGCAAGCUAGUCUGACUUAUGUAAUAGAAAAAACAGACCCUCUUCUCAAACAAGUCAGAAAAUGGGGACUGAUACCAGAGGUUGGCACUGAUCUCCACAUGCACACAGUGGUACAUGUCAUGCACAUACUCAUAUAUAGGCAUACAUACACACAGACUCACAGACACACACACACACACACACACACACACACACACACACACACACACACACAGUGUUAUACGCCACCUGGAACUUGGUAUUAAUUAUAUGCAUAUGCACAUACACACACACUUGAAAAAAUUGUUUAAAAUGAUAACUGAAAGAAAAAUGUCUAUAAAAUCAAUAUCAUAUUUGAUAAUGGAAAAUGGACUCUUUCUACCUAAGAUUCAGAACAAGACAAGAAUAUCAUUGCCAUCAAUAACUACCACUAUACUGAAAUUCUUAGCCAGAACAGUAAGAAAAAUAAACACCAUAAACAUCAAAAAGGAAAACAUAAGGUGGUCUUUAUUCACUAUUAUGCACACAAAAGUCCCAACAGAUUUUUUAAGUGACUAGCAGAACUAGUAAACAAAUCCAACACAAAUUCAAUACACAAGAUCAAUUGCAUUGCUGUACAACUAGGCAACAAUUGAGAAUUAAACUUUAAAACCAGUUUGGUUCAUAAUAGAACUAAAAAGCAAAAUAGUUACAAAUAGUUUUAAAGAAAAGCAUGAUAAACAUUAAUAUUUUUUAAAACAUUAAUGAGAAAAAAUAAACAUGCUGCAUUAAGUGGCAAGACAAACUGAAUUCCAGGGUUAGAAGACUGCUACUGUGAAGUGGCCAUUUGAGCCAGGGAUAAAACACUGCCUCACAGGGCCAAGAGCCUCAGGUUACCCUGCACUGAAAAGAAGACAAUUCUUCUGAUAGGAUCAGUGUAACUUAAAAGAAAUCUCAGUAAAAUUUUUGUUUUUUAAAUAAGCUGAUUCUAAACUGUACAUGGACUUUUUAAAAACAAAACAAAAAACUAAGCCAAAAUAACUUUGAAAAGGAAGAAAGGAAAUACCCCUUAGUUUGAAGACACUGUGGCUUUUGUGAGAGGAUUCAAAAAGAUGAAUAAAAAAAAAAAAACCCCGCAGAUUAAUUUUUUUUCUUUUUCUCUUUUCUUUUCUUUCAUUUUUUUUCUUAAAAAAAACUUCAAAAUAUUCAUUGAGACUUUGACAAGAAACAAAUUUCCAUAUGAAAAAGAUUUUGAUUCCUACUUUAUAAAACAUGCCAAAAUUAUAUAUGAAUGAAUAUAGUCCUAAACAUGAAUAUAGUCCUAAAAUCAUAGUUUCUAAAAGAAAAUGGAAUUUGGUUAAACUAAGAUUUCCUAGUGAAGAUAUAAGAAUCAAUAACAAAAGAUUCCAAAAAUAAGGUUUCAUAAAAAUUCACUGUAUUAACAUGUUAAAAAUGAAAACAAAAACCAUAGACUAGGAGAAAAUAUUCAUACUACAUAUAUCAUGUCACAAACCCACAAUAUAAAAAUGCCAACAAUACAAAAAGUUUAAUGUUUUUAGUGGUCAAGACUUGAGCCAUUUAAAAAGAUGAUAUAGGAAUAACCAACAGGGUAUGAUAACAUUACAAGAAAUGCAGAUUAAAAAAGCCUGUCCCAUUACCAUACUCAUUAGAGUUCUAAAAAUAAAAACCCUGACAAUACCAAUUACUUGCAAGCAUAUGAAAGUGGAAUUCACAUGGUACUAGAACUAUAAAAUGUAAAAAUCAUUUUGAAAUACUGGUAACUCUAUAAAAGAAUCUAAUGUGUAUUUACCAUAUAAACCACCAAUUUUUAUUAUGCCUUAGAGGAUCAAUAAGCAUGUACGUAUACAAAAUUUUGUAUAAGCCCAGGUGUCAACAGAGGAAUUACCUGUGACAGUGUCAGCAGAAUACUACUCAGCAAUAAAUAAAAAGAAAUGAACUACUGGGCUAGGGAGGUGGCUCACUGUGUAAAGUCCUUUCACAUCAAGCCUAACAACCUGAGUUCAAAUCCUGGAUCAACCCGGUGCAAGGAGAGAACAGACUCCCACAAAUUUGUCCUCUGAACUCCAUAUGUACACCCUGACACAUUCACUCCCUCAAUAUUAAACAAAUAAAUAUUAAAAAGUAGUAAAAAAAAAAAGGAAAGGAAGGGAAGAGAAGAGAAGGGGAGGAAAGAGAGAGGGAGAGAAAUGAACUAUUAACAUGUGCAUCAGGAUUACAGUAAAAAAUAUUGGGCUAUAGACACACAAAAGAGCAAAUGUGUGUGACAUUAUGCAUGUAAGACUGGAGAACAAGAAUUAAGAAGUUACUAGAUUUUAGGGAUUAACUAGUGGAUCAAAAUGAGAAAAAGCAUAAGGAAAUUUGAAGAUGGAUUACAAAGAUUAACAACCUUGUGAACACUGCUUCAUUUACAUUUUCAGAUAGGAACAUUUCUUUGUAUGAAAAUUUCAUAUCUCAAUUUUAAAAAGAUACAGUGAAUGAGGGCUUCAGGAUUACAUAGAGCAGCUCUACCACUUACCAGGUAUAUGGCCUUGGCCAAGUGUUAAACCAUCAGUCUCCCCAUCUGCAAAGCAAAAAGAACUAGAGUUGAGAAUAACUGCACAGAGCUGCUAAGUAAACAAGUAAUACAUUAAUGACAUAAUACAGUAAAUAUUCAUUAAAUAUUAACAAAAAAGUCAGAAAUUUUAUUCCCAUAUUUCAGCUAUGGAGAAAGAUUCAGGAAUACCUAGUGGGUAAACAUUGGUAACUUACAUAACCUACCAGUACUUGUGUUUUACAGUAAAACCUAGCAAGUUUUACGGUUCAUUCAGUUUUAAGGUUUCGGGAGAUGUCAGCAUGCAAACUUCUGCUUGUGUGUUCUCUUUUCUAACAUGGCCUGAUGUAUUUCAGGCUGGCCUGGAAUUUACUGUGCAUCCCAAAUGAUCCUGAACUACUGAUUCUCAUGCCUCUACCUUCCAUAUUCCGAGAUUACAGGUUAUGUGUCAGUUCAUGUAUUUUCAAAUGCACCAUGAACUCCAACAGGGUCACUUUCAGCAGUUAACCCUGUAAUUGCCAGUAUAAGUCAUCUCAUAUUAAAAGUGUUCCAUUUAUUCUUCCUUUUCUUCUCUUCUCUUUUUGAGACAGGAUGUCACUCUGUGCCCCUGGCUGGCCCACCAGCCUCUGUGCACUGCCACCAAGGCCAACCCCCAUUGUUGCCAGUACUAGGUUCAAGUUUCCUGACAAAAAAUAGGAGGCCAGGGGCCUGGAGAGAUGGCUCAGUGGUUAAGAGCACUGACUGGACUGCUCUUCAAAAGGUCCUGAGUUCAAUUCUCACAACCAUCUGUAAUGGGAUCCAAUGCCCUCUCCUGGUGUGUCUGAAGACAGCUACAGUGUACUUACAUACAUAAUAAAUAAAUAGAUCUUUAAAAAAAAAUUGAAAACCAAUUCUGGAAGUGGGGCUGUAAGUAGUCAUUUUAGGCUUUAAGUUUUUGUUUACAUUGUGAGUGUGUGUGUGCUUGUAUGUGCACAUACAUGUAUACAUAUAUGCAUGUACAUGUCAAGGUAUGCAUGUGUAGGUCAAAGGACAACUUGAGGGAGCUGGCUCUCUCCUUCCACCACGUGGGUUACAGACACUGAAUUCAGAAGGCCAGGGUUUGCGACAAGCCACUUUACCUGGCUGAGCCAUCUCACUGAUCUAUUCUAGCCUUUUUGAAUGUUCCUUCCUCAGAGAAAGUUCAAAAGAAAAGAAUUCUGGCUUGGUAUGACUGACAGACACAUAUAAUUCUACCACUUAGGAGGCUAAGGUAAGAAAAUCUUGAGUUAAAGCCAGCCCUGACAACAGAGUUAUCAAGAUCAGCCCAGCUACAUAAAAUUCCUCCUCAAAAAAUAAAAUAAAAAAUAAAUAAAAAUUGAGGGAGAGGAAGGUAAAAAUGAAUGCAUAUAAUCUGGAUGUGAAGCCUGUGCUCUAAGAGAGCCAGAGCUAAGGCUUGAAAUUAUUUGGCAGAAUAUUUUCAGAAACUUGGCGGCUGAAAAGGGAACCAAUUUUUUCAUUAAAACUAUAUUCUAUUUUUCUUAAUCAUAAAAGAUUCUUACUUUGAAAAAGUUAAAAUGGUGGAUGUGGUAGUGGACUCCUUUGAGCCUGGCACUUGAGAGGCAAAAAAAUGAAUAAUAGCUCACUGAGUUAGAGGCCAGCCUAGUCUUCCAAGUGAAAAACCAAAAACUAAAGUGAAAGACCACAACAGGAUGAGAAAAAUUCUCACGCAUUCUGAUACCAAGUUAUUGAACUCAAACAACCAUUUUCAGCUUUUUAAAACACAUGAGGGCCAGAGAUGACUCAGUGGGUAAAAGCAGGUGACACACAGCCUGAUGACAUGCAAAGGAUCCCUGGGACCCACCCAAAGCCAGAAGGAAAGCAUCAACCCCACAAAGCUGUCCUCUGACCUUCACGAAUUUGCCUUGGCAGAUGUGCCACUGGUCAUCACACCCAGACACGGGGUUGUCUCAGCUCCCCAUCAUACACAUGGACACAGGGUUGUCUCAAACUGUUACAAUACUGCUCCCACAGGAAAAAAAAUAAUUGCUAAAAUCUAGCCUCACAUUUUUUUUUACAUUCCUUCUUAGUCAUCCAUUACAAAUCUCCAAGCAUUCCCUGCACCCACCAGAUAGUAACAGGCAUCCAUGGCUAUACAAGGACUCAGCAAUUGCCUUUGAAUCCAACUAUCUUUUCACCAAUUGUAAACAAGCCCUAAACUCUUGGCUCCAUAGAGAAUGCCUACAAGUCAGUAUAAACUCUGAAACAGGGGCAGAGGUCAAGUGACUGGGAGAGUUCAGCCUGAACUGUCAAUCUCAUCCCACCCCCACCUUGUUCAAAAGAAUCCUAUCAGAAAGCACCUCCCAGCAAAAGGCCACAUUCGGGAGACCUGAUGUGGCAGCAUUGCUACAUCCUAAGCUGGGGCUUUAGAAGCACAGGGGAACUGCUAAAGUCAGGAACCACCUAAUCACCAAGUGAAUGCUAUGGAGGAGGAGACAUUAAGGGAAAACAGGGAGACUUACAAAUUUAUCUUAAUAUGCUUUAGAAAAGGAGACUCCUUUAAGGAAAUGCCUCCAUGAGAUCCAGCUGUAAGACAUUUUCUCAAUUAGUGUUCAGUGAAGUACAGCCCAGCCUAUGAUGGGUGGGGCCGCUCCUGGGCUGGUGGUCCUGGGUUCUAUAAGAAAGCAGGUUAAGCAAGUCAUGUGAAUCGGGUCAGUAAGCAGCACCCCUCCACGGCCUCUGCAUCAACUCCUGCUUCCAGCCCUGCUUGAUUUCUUGUCCUAACUUCCUCCAGUAAUGAACUAUGAUCUGAAAGUGUAAGCUAAAUAAACCUGUUCCUCCUCAGCUUGCUUUUUGGUCAUGGUGUUUCAUCACAGCAAAACAAAAUACCCUAAGACAGCCUCUGACCUCCACACAUGUGCUGUAGCACACACAAAAUGAGAUAAAAUAACUAUUUUUUUUUAAAAAUAACAUUUAUCUUUCUUUUCUUAAUAUCUACUAUUCAAUUUUAUAUUAAUUAUCUGCAGACAAUGGUUGGACCUAUCUGUGCUACCUGCACACUUUUCUAAGGCUUAUUUUAUGUUUGUGGAGAUUUUUGUCUGCAUGUAUAUAUGGGCACCAUGUGCGGACACUGCAUGCAGGAGAGUCAGAAGAGGAUAUCAGAUCCCUUGGAACUGAAGUUACAGAUGGUUGUGACCUGGCAUGUGGAUAUUGGGAAUUGAACCUGGGUCCUGUGGAAGAAUAGAUAGUAUUCUUAACCACUAGUACAGCACCUGUACUACUUUUUAAUACCAAAAGUUAUGAUAUAUUGCCAGGUUUGGUGAUACAUAUCUUUAUUCCAAGCACUUGGAAGCAGAGGUAGGUGGAUCUCUGAGUUCCACCAGCUUGGGACUACAUUCAUGCAGGCAAAACACUAAUGCACAUAAGGUAAAAGUAAAAUAAAUUAAAAACGAAAGUAAGUUGGUAAGAAAACCUAGGUUAAACCCACAAUAUACAGUGUUUUAAAAAUAAUGAUCAAAUUUUAAAUAGUGCAAAAUCUUUCCUGAAUAUGCUAUUAAACCUUACUGGGAUGGUUUGUAUAUGCCUGGCCCAGUUUUAGAGUAGGCGUGUCACUGUGGGUGUGGGAUUUAAGACCAUCCUAGCUGCCUGGUAGACGGUAUUCUGCUAGCAGCCUUCAGAUGAAGAUGUAAAACUCUCAGCUCCUCCUGCACCAUGCCUGCCUGGAUGCUACCAUGUUCUUACCUUGAUGAUAAUGGACUGAACCUCUGAACCUGUAAGCCAGCCCCAAUUAAAUGUUGUCCUUUAUAAGAGUUGCCUUGCUCACAGUGUCUGUUCACAGCAGUGAACCCUAACUAAGACACUUGGCCAUUAAUCAAUAGAACAUGUAUAAUAUGAAUACUUUUAAAAAUAAUCUGAUAGUUAACUUCUUCAGGCUAUUAAGAAGUUAAGUAAAUGAGUAAUUGAUAAUUUAUCCUAUGCUGGAGGAAUGAUGACAAAUCCCCUAUGAGCCAAAUGGUAAAAAACAAAAAUGCCAAAAUGUUCAAUAGUUCAUCAGCCUGUGGGAUGAGGUAAUGGGUGAGGCAGGUACAAGAUAGAAGGAGGCCUGUCAUUGGACGAGAAGGAAGGAUGGGCAGGAGAAAAGUUUGAAGGAAGAGAAGGAGACUGGAAUGGAAAGGAGGAAGAGACAGGAGGGAAAGGGAGAGAAGCCAUGGCAGGACAAUAUGGGAGGUGAUGUUAAGAUUCCACACUGUACCUUUACAGGUUGUUACAAAUGUUUUUAAGGGAUAGAUGUGUAUUGGGCUUUGUAUGUUUAGGUGGGCAAUUAUACCUUAUCAAUUAGAUCAAAGGUUAUUGUGUUGUAUGUUUUCAUGCAACAAUUUAAGUGUAAGAAAGUGUGCGGCGGCUGGUCUGGGCUACCACAGAGUUGGGAUGUGUGUUUCCAGCAUGGAAACCUGCCUUGGGAGCUAGAUAGGUAGAGAGAUUGCUGCCAGGCUCAGAGAGAGGCCUUUGGCAGUGUGAUAUGGGAUGGAGCAGAGCAGGUAAGACGCUUUGCUGACUGAGAAUUAAGACAUCCAGCAGUUAUCUUGGGGCACUGCAGUAGCAGACCUAGAGUGGGUAAAAGACAGCCUUUUAUUUUUUUAUAUUUUUACAACAGCAUCAUCCUGUACAAAUAAACUAUUUCUGUGAAGCAGUAACAUAUGCUAAUGUGUAGAAUGGCUCAUGUUUAUGUCAUUAAAUAACAUGGGUUAAUGGAGAGAUGGCACAACGAUUAAGAACUGAGCUCUUCCAGAGGACUUGGGUUCAAUUCUCAGCACCAACAUGGUGGCUCACAACUGUCUAUGACUCCAGUUCCAGGGGAUCUGAUGCCCUCACACCAAUGCACAUAAAAUAAAAUUAAAUAAUUUAUUUUUUUAAAAACAUGGCUUGAAUUACCCUAGAUGCCUAGAACAAAUGAAACUCAAGACGGAUGAUCAAAAUGUGAAUGCUUCACUCCUUCUUUAAAAGGGGAACAAGAAUACCCUUGGCAGGGAAUAGAGAGGCAAAGAUUAAAACAGAGACUGAAGGAACACCCAUUCAGAGCCUGCCCCACAUGUGGCCCAUACAUAUACAGCCACCCAAUUAG